CAUUUUGCCUCAAAUAUUGUUUUUAAUAUUACAAUUUUGCCCCCCCCAUGACCCGACCCGACCCGUAAAAGGGGUUAGGGUUUCGCGUUUUCCACUAUAAAUACCGAAACAAGGGCUUUGUCUCCACACGUUCACAUUCAGGAAUCGUUUUCUUCAGAAAUUUGCCAUCGUUGAGAGAAGCGUGAGAGCCUUAGUCGUUCAAGAUGAGAGCUAAGUGGAAGAAGAAGCGCAUGAGGAGGUUGAAGAGGAAGCGCCGAAAGAUGAGACAAAGAUCUAAGUAGGUGCUUGAGCAGGAGUUGAGAUGAGCUUUCCAUCUGCUACCAGCCUCAUGACAUUUUAGGCUGUUAUGGCUCUUAUGAUCUUGAGGUCUAGUCGCUAGGGGAGCUUCACUCUUGACUUAGUUUGCUUUACUGGUCCUGGUCCUGGUCCAAGACUAUUGAGUGUGGGUUAAGUUGUGAUGUUUAGCGUUUUGUGGUAUCUAAUUAUGUACUCGUUUUUAUACUUUUUGGUUGAAUAGCUAUAUAUUAGUAUCGAGACUUCCAUGAAAAUUUGAUCCUGUUGUAUGCUUGAAGUGACCUCUAAUCCUUAGCUCAUAUAUAAUGCUAUGUAUAUUAUCACAACUAUUUUCAUCAACAAUUUUUUAUCA